rnacentral:rRNA from 1 species
UACGGAGGGAGCUAGCGUUGCUCGGAAUUAUUGGGCGUAAAGCGCGCGUAGGCGGUUACUUAUGUCGGAUGUGAAAGCCCUCGGCUUAACUGAGGAAGUGCAUUCGAAACUGGGUAGCUAGAGUACUAAAGAGGGUCGCGGAAUUCCCGGUGUAGAGGUGAAAUUCGUAGAUAUCGGGAGGAACACCGGUGGCGAAGGCGGCGACCUGGGUAGAUACUGACGCUGAGGCGCGAAAGCGUGGGGAGCAAACAGG